CAGUCGAACGAACUCUGGUAUUGAUUGGUGCUUGCAUCAUGAUUUACAUUUGAGUGAGUGGCGAACUGGUGAGUAACACGUGGGAAACCUGCCCAGAAGCGGGGGAUAACACCUGGAAACAGAUGCUAAUACCGCAUAACAACUUGGACCGCAUGGUCCGAGUUUGAAAGAUGGCUUCGGCUAUCACUUUUGGAUGGUCCCGCGGCGUAUUAGCUAGAUGGUGAGGUAACGGCUCACCAUGGCAAUGAUACGUAGCCGACCUGAGAGGGUAAUCGGCCACAUUGGGACUGAGACACGGCCCAAACUCCUACGGGAGGCAGCAGUAGGGAAUCUUCCACAAUGGACGAAAGUCUGAUGGAGCAACGCCGCGUGAGUGAAGAAGGGUUUCGGCUCGUAAAACUCUGUUGUUAAAGAAGAACAUAUCUGAGAGUAACUGUUCAGGUAUUGACGGUAUUUAACCAGAAAGCCACGGCUAACUACGUGCCAGCAGCCGCGGUAAUACGUAGGUGGCAAGCGUUGUCCGGAUUUAUUGGGCGUAAAGCGAGCGCAGGCGGUUUUUUAAGUCUGAUGUGAAAGCCUUCGGCUCAACCGAAGAAGUGCAUCGGAAACUGGGAAACUUGAGUGCAGAAGAGGACAGUGGAACUCCAUGUGUAGCGGUGAAAUGCGUAGAUAUAUGGAAGAACACCAGUGGCGAAGGCGGCUGUCUGGUCUGUAACUGACGCUGAGGCUCGAAAGUAUGGGUAGCAAACAGGAUUAGAUACCCUGGUAGUCCAUACCGUAAACGAUGAAUGCUAAGUGUUGGAGGGUUUCCGCCCUUCAGUGCUGCAGCUAACGCAUUAAGCAUUCCGCCUGGGGAGUACGGCCGCAAGGCUGAAACUCAAAGGAAUUGACGGGGGCCCGCACAAGCGGUGGAGCAUGUGGUUUAAUUCGAAGCUACGCGAAGAACCUUACCAGGUCUUGACAUACUAUGCAAAUCUAAGAGAUUAGACGUUCCCUUCGGGGACAUGGAUACAGGUGGUGCAUGGUUGUCGUCAGCUCGUGUCGUGAGAUGUUGGGUUAAGUCCCGCAACGAGCGCAACCCUUAUUAUCAGUUGCCAGCAUUAAGUUGGGCACUCUGGUGAGACUGCCGGUGACAAACCGGAGGAAGGUGGGGAUGACGUCAAAUCAUCAUGCCCCUUAUGACCUGGGCUACACACGUGCUACAAUGGAUGGUACAACGAGUUGCGAACUCGCGAGAGUAAGCUAAUCUCUUAAAGCCAUUCUCAGUUCGGAUUGUAGGCUGCAACUCGCCUACAUGAAGUCGGAAUCGCUAGUAAUCGCGGAUCAGCAUGCCGCGGUGAAUACGUUCCCGGGCCUUGUACACACCGCCCGUCACACCAUGAGAGUUUGUAACACCCAAAGUCGGUGGGGUAACCUUUUAGGAACCAG
rnacentral:rRNA from 2 species